GACGAACGCUGGCGGCGUGCCUAAUACAUGCAAGUAGAACGCUGAAGGAGGAGCUUGCUUCUCUGGAUGAGUUGCGAACGGGUGAGUAACGCGUAGGUAACCUGCCUGGUAGCGGGGGAUAACUAUUGGAAACGAUAGCUAAUACCGCAUAAUAGUAGAUGUUGCAUGACAUUUGCUUAAAAGGUGCAAUUGCAUCACUACCAGAUGGACCUGCGUUGUAUUAGCUAGUUGGUGGGGUAACGGCUCACCAAGGCGACGAUACAUAGCCGACCUGAGAGGGUGGUCGGCCACCCUGGGACUGAGACACGGCCCAGACUCCUACGGGAGGCAGCAGUAGGGAAUCUUCGGCAAUGGACGGAAGUCUGACCGAGCAACGCCGCGUGAGUGAAGAAGGUUUUCGGAUCGUAAAGCUCUGUUGUAAGAGAAGAACGGGUGUGGGAGUGGAAAGUUCACACUGUGACGGUAGCUGACCAGAAAGGGACGGCUAACUACGUG
rnacentral:rRNA from 1 species